UACGUAGGGGGCAAGCGUUGUCCGGAUUUAUUGGGCGUAAAGAGCGUGUAGGCGGCCAGACAGGUCAGCUGUGAAAACUCGAGGCUCAACCUCGAGACGUCGGUUGAAACCGUAUGACUAGAGUCCGGAAGAGGAGAGUGGAAUUCCUGGUGUAGCGGUGAAAUGCGCAGAUAUCAGGAGGAACACCGAUGGCGAAGGCAGCUCGCUGGGACGGUACUGACGCUGAGACGCGAAAGCGUGGGGAGCAAACAGG
rnacentral:rRNA from 1 species